rnacentral:tRNA from 1 species
AAAUAUUUAGUUUUAUGUUUAUUAAAAAUAUUAAUUUUGGAGAUUAAAGAAUAAUAAAUAUUUG